GCAAAUUUGCUGUUCAUUGACAUUAUUACUUAAUGGCACUUCCUUUUUGUCACAGUCACAUGCAAUUCACCACAACACUUCUCACUUUUUCAAAUACUCUUGUCUCCUCUCUCUCUCUCUCUCUCUCAUUACAGAUGCUCUCAUUAGCUCUUGUUGUUCACAGAGACUCGUGUCAGGAAUGACACAUGAGUGAUAUGCAUUGGGUUGGAUUUGGUGACUGUUAUUUUGGAGUGUGGCGUGAAGAGUCUUGGGGACAUUAAAUCACUGAGAGUUCUCAUGCAAGACGGACUCUGCCAUCACUUACUUACUGUAAAUGAGCAACUUUACGAAAACGAAUCUGUUGAUGUUUUUGGUCGCUCUUUGACAAAGUGCUUUCUUCUUUUUGAUUCAAAUUGUCAUCAUCUCAAACUACAGCUGGAGUGGUUCCUUAAUAAGCUAAUGCACACAAUACAAUUAGAUCAGUCAAGACUUCAAGCAGGCAGACAAGAGCUAACAUUAGAAUGUCUCAAUUCAAGUAAGAA
rnacentral:lncRNA from 1 species